AGUCUAGCUCAUGCCUGCUGACCUUCGUGGAGCCUGGCCAGUGGGGGAAGUGUGAAGGAGGCAGGCAGGAUUCAGGCUUCUCGGGGCAGGUGUUUCUUCAGUGAGUAGAUACCUGGGGAUGAACUUCUGGGAUAUCCUUUCCAGUUUUCAGGAUAUUUCUCCUUAUAUAUGGUGCUGUGGUCAUCAGAAACGUACAGGCCCUCUGCAGCCACCCAUGGAAACAGAAGAGAUUGCAUGCAGAGAUAGAGACACCAAGCUUUCGAAUGGACUUGGGUCGCAGCAGAUCUGAAAUCCAGCCACAGGAGCAGCAGGUACAGAGAUGAUGAAGAGCGGAGCCAGGG
rnacentral:lncRNA from 1 species